UAUGGGAUAUUAUAGAUGAAAAGUGGGAUCGACAAUUACACCAACACUUACAUGCUGCUGCGUACUAUUUAAAUCCCCAAUUUCAUUAUGAUAAAGAUUUUUCAUGUUGACAAAGAGGUGAAAACUGGUUUGUAUGCAUGUAUGGAUAGACUCAUUUCUGAAGAAAACUACCUCAAAGUUAAUGAUCAACUUGAGGAUUUUCAUUUGAAGAAGGGAAUGUUUGGAUUUAGAGCAGCACAAGCAUGCUUCAAAACACGAUCUCCUGUUUGGAGAUGAUGUUCCUGAAUUGAAAGCUUUUGCAGUUAAAGUUUUUAGCCUAACGUGUUCGGCUUCUGCAUGCGAGCGUAAUUGGAGCAUCUUCAAUCAAAUUCAUACAAAGAGAAGAAAUCGAUUGGCGGCAGAUCGAAUGAACAAACUAGUUUAUGUUAUGUUUAAUAAAAAACUGAAAGAUAGACAUCUCAAAUUGCAGAAUCAAGGAAAUAUUGAGAAUGAAA